rnacentral:rRNA from 1 species
UACAGAGGCCUCAAGCGUUGUUCGGAUUCAUUGGGCGUAAAGGGUGCGUAGGCGGCGCGGUAAGUCGGGUGUGAAAUCUUGGAGCUUAACUCCGAAACUGCAUUCGAUACUGCCGCGCUUGAGGACUGGAGAGGAGACUGGAAUUUACGGUGUAGCGGUGAAAUGCGUAGAUAUCGUAAGGAAGACCAGUGGCGAAGGCGGGUCUCUGGACAGUUCCUGACGCUGAGGCACGAAGGCCAGGGGAGCAAACGGG